rnacentral:rRNA from 1 species
CUGACAUGUGUGCGAGUCAACGAGCGAGUAAACUCGUAAGGCGUAAGGAAGCUGAUUGGUGAGAUCCCCCUGAGGGGUGCACCGCCGAUCGACCUUGAUCUUCUGUAAAGGGUUCGAGUGUGAGCAUACCUGUCGGGACCCGAAAGAUGGUCAACUAUGCCUGAGUGGGGCGAAACCAGAGGAAACUCUGGUGGAGGCCCGCAGCGACACUGACGUGCAAAUCGUUCUGACUUGGGUAUAGGGGCGAAAGACUAAUCGAACCGUCUAGUAGCUAG